rnacentral:rRNA from 1 species
GACGUAGGGUCCAAGCGUUGUCCGGAUUUACUGGGCGUAAAGAGCGCGUAGGCGGUCUGAUAAGUGUGAAGUGAAAUCUCCAGGGCUCAACCCGGAAACUGCUUUACAUACUGUCAGACUGGAGUGAUGCAGAGGUUUGUGGAAUUCCUGGUGUAACGGUGAAAUGUGUUGAUAUCAGGAGGAACACCCAUGGCGAAGGCAGCAAACUGGGCAUUAACUGACGCUGAGGCGCGAAAGCGUGGGUAGCAAACAGG